rnacentral:rRNA from 1 species
GGUUAAAAAGCUCGUAGUUGGAUUUCUGUCGAAAACGGCCGGUCCGCACUAUGUGCGUGUAUCUGGUUCGGUUUUGGCAUCCUCAUGAAGAACGUAACUGCGCUUGAUUGCGUGGUGCGGUAUUCAUGACUUUUACUUUGAGGAAAUUAGAGUGUUCACGGCAGGCAAGCGCCUUGAAUAUAUUAGCAUGGAAUAAUAAUAUAGGACCUUGGUCCCAUUUUGUUGGUUUCUGGAACUAAGGUAAUGAUUAAUAGGGAUAAUUGGAGGCAUUCGUAUUAACGCGUCAGAGGUGGAAUUCUUGGAUUGCGUUACGACGAACCACUGCGAAAGCAUUUGCCAAGGAUGUUUUCAUUGAUCAAGAACGAAAGUAUGGGGAUCGAAGAUGAUUAGAUACCGUCGUAGUCUAUACCAUAAACUAUGCCGACUAGAGAUUGGAGGUCGU